rnacentral:rRNA from 1 species
AUACGGAGGAUGCGAGCGUUAUCCGGAUUUAUUGGGUUUAAAGGGAGCGUAGGUGGGAUAUUAAGUCAGCUGUGAAAGUUUGGGGCUCAACCUUAAAAUUGCAGUUGAUACUGGUUUCCUUGAGUACGGUACAGGUGGGCGGAAUUCGUGGUGUAGCGGUGAAAUGCUUAGAUAUCACGAAGAACUCCGAUCGCGAAGGCAGCUCACCGGGCCGGAACUGACACUGAUGCUCGAAAGUGCGUGUAUCAAACAGGAUUAGAUACCCUGGUAGUCCGCACAGUAAACGAUGAAUACUCGCUGUUUGCGAUACACGGUAAGCGGCCAAGCGAAAGCGUUAAGUAUUCCACCUGGGGAGUACGCCGGCAACGGUGAAACUCAAAGGAAUUGACGGGG